GAGGACCCCUGCCUGAUGCGCGCAUAGGCUACAUAAGUGGUGGGCUUUGCAGUCUGUGAAGGCAAGUGUAUCACCACGAUCAACCUUAUAUGGGGAGGAUCUUCAACCUGCUUGGCUGCAUAAAUCAUAAUCAAGAUGAAGACGUGAUCAUAGCGCAUUCGGCAUCGUUCGAGGCAUCAGUAUACCAUUAAGUUCUGACGCUCACGAUAGAACCGUGGACUCCGGGCAAGGCUACAGAGGUGGUAGACUGCUAGGCGGGGGCUGGAGGCGAAAACAGACAUAUUUUAAUGAUAUUAAUAAAACUGAUCACAAUGAAGCGCAGAAGGAUAGUGGUUGCGGCAGGUUUCUGUCUUGCCUUCUUCCUUGGUACACUGAUGAAUUUGCUGUAUAUACCAGGGUUUGAGCACCAUCAGAACCAUGACCAUAGAGUACAUCGGUACUACCACGAAAAACAGCAGCAGGUUACAGGCGAUUCGCAGCUUCAAAUCGGCGAGUCAGUCACUGAAGCUGUGGCCGAGUCCAAUAGUAAACCUGCCGUAGGAAGCAGGCAUCAUCAGGACCUUCUGCUGCAGAUACGAGAAAGAUUCGAUGAGGUUGUGCGGUACCGUCAGCGCCAAGCGCAUGGGUCUGGCACCGGAGACCCAGUCCGCCAGCUGGAGAGACGGAGGCUCAUGGAUUCAGAGCCAGGGGACAAUUGGGACCCUAUCAAAGUAAUUGAGCGAACCGAAAACCGACAGACGCAUUUUCAAAAUCGACUUUCACCUUCCAUAUACAUGCCCACAGCAUCACGGAAAGAUUUCACUAUGACUUUGAGCAGCGUUAACGGUACUCCGAUGCUUGGCUGCAGCAGCAUAGACAACGUGACCAAUGUUCAGUACCUCGGCUCAGGCUACACAAAGGCUGUCUACAAGGCGUCUCUCAACAACAGCUUGUCGGUGGCUCUGAAAUCGGUGGAUUUCGGGGGACACGAUAUGGAAAAUUGCGUAAAGAAAUAUGGUUCACCUGGAGACUGCUACAGACUGGCGUCCUUCAAAAUAGUGAAAGAAAUGACGCUGAUGGAAAGGCUACAGCACCCCAACAUUCUGAAGUUGUACGGCUACUGCUACCAAGACAGCAAUGACAUCCAGGACACGGUGACAGCCAUCACAGAGCUGGGAAGUCCUCUGGAGAUGAUCCAACUACUGCAGACCUCCUGGGAGGAACGCUUCAGGAUCUGUCUGAGUCUAGUGCGUCUGCUCCACUACCUGGCCCACUCCCCUCUGGGCUCUGUCACCCUGCUGGACUUCAGGCCUCGCCAAUUUGUCCUGGUGGCGGGGGAGCUCAAAGUCACAGACCUGGAUGACGCCAGCACAGAGGAGGCCCCCUGCUCCCCCUCCGACUGCAUCAUGGAGUUUCCCGCCCGCAACUUCACCCUCCCCUGCAGCAGAGGGCGCUGCUUGGGCAUCAACGAGAAGCGCAACCUCUACAACGCCUACAGGUUCUUCUUUACAUACUUGCUGCCUCACAGUGCCCCACCCACUCUAAGACCCCUACUGGACAAGAUAGUCAACGCCACAGGAGAGCUGAUAUGGGGGAUAGAUGAGACGCUGCUUCAGUUGGAGAAAGUAUUGCACCUGUACAGAAAUGGAUUUUACUUGCAGAACAGCACACAGACACACAUAACAGACUAUAAGCAUGUGGUGGAUGCCUCUAUUCCUGAGGAGAACUACCGCUGCUGGCCAUCCUAUCAGCACGAUGGAUGUCUGCUAUCAGUCUUCAGCAUCACAGAGGCUAUUGGUGUGUGUGAGCGCCAUGCCCAGUGCCAAGCAUUUGUAGUGACCAAUCAGACGACCUGGACAGGUAAGAGUUAAAUUUACAUUUCAGUCAUUUACCAGACACUCUUAUCCAGAGCGACUUACAGUUAGUGCAUUCAUCUUAAGAUAGCUAGGUGGGACAACCACAUAUCACAGGCAUAGAAAGUACAUUUUCCUUAAUAGCAUAGCUAUCAGUAGAGUCAGAGCUACAAGGGAUAAUUAUUAUUGAUAUUUGUUCAGGGGAGGGUGAUUGAGGUGAGGAGGAGGAAGGGGAGGAGGAUUUCGGAAGAUGGGCAGGGACUCUGUACUUGCUUCAGGGGGAAGCUGGUUCCACCAUUGGGGUGCCAGGACAGAGAAGAGCUUGGACUGGGAUAAGCGGGAGCUGCCCUCCCGUAGUUGUGGGAGGGCCAAGAGACCUGAGGUGGCAGAACAGAGUUGGAUGCGAGCUUCGACUGGGAGCCAAUGGAGUGUUCGGAGGAGCGGGUUGACAUGAGAGAACUUGGGAAGGUUAAAAUCCAGGCGGGUUAUCAUUGUAUGGUUGAAGACAAUGUGUGGGUUGCAUUCGUGUGGCUGCCUGUGUGUAUCUGUGUGUUUUGUUCAUAAAGUUCCCUGUGUGUGUGUGUGUGUGUGCGUGUGUGUGGGAGGUAAAGUACCCAGCGUUGUCAGACGUCUCUCUAUUCAAACAGAGGCAGGGCCUUCAGUACCGUCGUCUCUCAUCACUAACCCCUCCUUUCUAGUCACCAACUUGUAUUCUUCAAGACGGGCACUGCCAGUCUGAGCUCUGCCAAGGGACGGGUCACCUACGUCAGAGUGGGCAGCUGAAUCAAGGGAGGUGGAGGAGCCUUAACUGCCAAACCUCGCUCUGAUUGGCUAACCUGCUCCUGGGGCAUGCCCUCACGGCUUAGUGAGUCACCCCAUUGGAUGGGUCGGACAGAGGGAGUUGAAGAUGGAUCCUAGACAACACCCUCUAUGGGGCAUAGAGAAGCCCAAACCAGCUCACACUGAAGUGCAAUAAUAUAACUUGGAGAACAAUUUUACAAUAUUGCUCUUCAUAUGUUUCUCCGAAGGAAAAUGCUGGGUUGUGCAAGGCUAUAGCUCAGGGUAUAGUAUGGUUACCCUCCUAGCUAAGAAGGGUGACAGUGAACGCCUGAGAUUUCCCUCCUGUGCCCCCUAAACUACACUACAUUGUCAAAAGUAUGUGGACAACUGCUCAUCAAAAUCAUUGGUAUUAAUAUGGAGUUGGUCCCCCCUUUGCUGCUAUAACAGUCUCCACUCUUCUGGGAAGGCUUUCCACUAGAUGUCGGAACAUUGCUG